rnacentral:snoRNA from 2 species
CACCCCUUUUCUCUUCAGCCAAGGCUGGAGGCCAAGAUCAGCCCUCAGGGAUCAUCAUCAGGACUGCCAUGAGCUGAGCUGCCUUGUUUUCCUGCCGCAAACAUGU